AGAACUUAGCAGAGAUGCUUUGGUGCCUUCGGGAACUCUGAGACAGGUGCUGCAUGGCUGUCGUCAGCUCGUGUUGUGAAAUGUUGAGUUAAGUCCCGCAACGAGCGCAACCCUUAUCCUUUGUUGCCAGCGGCUCGGCCGGGAACUCAAAGGAGACUGCCGGUGAUAAACCGGAGGAAGGUGGGGAUGACGUCAAGUCAUCAUGGCCCUUACGGCCAGGGCUACACACGUGCUACAAUGGCGCAUACAAAGAGAAGCGACCUCGCGAGAGCAAGCGGACCUCAUAAAGUGCGUCGUAGUCCGGAUUGGAGUCUGCAACUCGACUCCAUGAAGUCGGAAUCGCUAGUAAUCGUAGAUCAGAAUGCUACGGUGAAUACGUUCCCGGGCCUUGUACACACCGCCCGUCACACCAUGGGAGUGGGUUGCAAAAGAAGUAGGUAGCUUAACCUUCGGGAGGGCGCUUACCACUUUGUGAUUCAUGACUGGGGUGAAGUCGUAACAAGGUAAGCGUAGCGAG
rnacentral:rRNA from 1 species